rnacentral:rRNA from 1 species
UACGGAAGGCAGCAGUGGGGAAUAUUGCACAAUGGGCGCAAGCCUGAUGCAGCCAUGCCGCGUGUAUGAAGAAGGCCUUCGGGUUGUAAAGUACUUUCAGCGGGGAGGAAGGCGAUGUGGUUAAUAACCGCGUCGAUUGACGUUACCCGCAGAAGAAGCACCGGCUAACUCCGUGCCAGCAGCCGCGGUAAUACGGAGGGUGCAAGCGUUAAUCGGAAUUACUGGGCGUAAAGCGCACGCAGGCGGUCUGUUAAGUCAGAUGUGAAAUCCCCGGGCUUAACCUGGGAACUGCAUUUUGAAACUGGCAGGCUUGAGUCUCGUAGAGGGGGUAGAAUUCCAGGUGUAGCGGUGAAAUGCGUAGAGAUCUGGAGGAAUCCGGUGGCGAAGGCGGCCCCUGGGACGAAGACUGACGCUCAGGGU